UACGUAGGGGGCUAGCGUUGCUCGGAAUCACUGGGCGUAAAGCGCACGUAGGCGGAUUGCUAAGUCAGGGGUGAAAUCCUGGAGCUCAACUCCAGAACUGCCUUUGAUACUGGCAAUCUCGAGUCCGGGAGAGGUGAGUGGAACUGCGAGUGUAGAGGUGAAAUUCGUAGAUAUUCGCAAGAACACCAGUGGCGAAGGCGGCUCACUGGCCCGGUACUGACGCUGAGGUGCGAAAGCGUGGGGAGCAAACAGG
rnacentral:rRNA from 1 species